CACCGCGGUUAUACGAGAGGCCCAAAUUGAUGAAAAACGGCGUAAAGCGUGGUUAAGAAAAUAAGAGAAAAUAUGGCCGAACAGCUCCAAAGCAGUUAUACGCAUUCGAAGCCACGAAGAACAACCACGAAAGUUGCCCUAAAACCUCUGAUUCCACGAAAGCCAUAAAA
rnacentral:rRNA from 1 species